UAUGGCCAUAUCACAUUGAAACACUGCUUCUCAUACAAUCACUGAAGUUAAGCAAUGUUGAGUCUGGUCAGUACCUAGAUGAGUGACUGCUUUGGAAUAUCAAAUAUUG